rnacentral:lncRNA from 1 species
CAUAACUCUGCAUAAAUCAUUCUGCAAUGUGAAUUCAACACUUUCAAAGAAAUUUCUUCUUGUCUUUAUAAAGUUUCAAUUACAGGCUCUGCAUUUACAAGAAGUCUGCUGGCUCAUGCAAAUCCAUCCUGAUCAAAUAAACUUCCUAAGGGUUGGUGUCUGAAGGAUCUGCUUAACAACUGAGGACAUUCAGAAUAUGGGAAAAAAUGGCUUUCUGUCAUCUCUGGCUUCCUGCAUUGUUGAAAAAGUCAAAGAAGUGAUUAAAACAGCCGCACAAGCAUCAUGGUUUGUGAUGCUGCCUCUUGAAGGUUGGAGGGAAAGGACUGGGGUCCACUCUCAUACCGCUGGGCGGCCAAAUGCUGCUCUGACUAGAGAAGGGAAAGUCUCUGCUUUUACCUUCAGAGCUGCGGAUGGAUCUCCACUGUGCACUUGUGGCGAUUCCAGCCUCUAAGCCGUUUGAGUAACAUCAGCCACACACUGAGGCUCCUGGUCGGGAAGGUGAACAGGAGGUCACAUAGGCCUCCAAGGUCUCAUUUGUUACCUGAAUUAGUGGGUUGGUGGGUGAGAUGAUUUUCUGCUCCCUUGGCGUGAACCUGAGAAUGAGUGGAAAGGAGCUGUCAGCUUUCAAAGUAGAUGUUUCAGCGGCGAAGAAAUAUCUGAGAUGAAAGAAGGGCUGGGUAAAGAAAACUGGAAGCACGCGGGUAAGCCCAAAUAAUACUGAAAACAUAAACUAGUAAUUAUGAUAAUGUCUCAUUUGCAGGAUUAUAAAAUGACAUGAAACUAAAAUACAAAGCAAGCAUAAGCUAUAAAUCCAGAGG